rnacentral:rRNA from 1 species
GACGAACGCUGGCGGCGUGCCUAAUACAUGCAAGUCGAGCGAAUCAAUAGGAGCUUGCUCCUGUUGGUUAGCGGCGGACGGGUGAGUAACACGUGGGCAACCUGCCUGUAAGACUGGGAUAACAUCGGGAAACCGAUGCUAAUACCGGAUAAUCCUUUCCCUCUCAUGAGGGAAAGUUGAAAGUCGGUUUCGGCUGACACUUACAGAUGGGCCCGCGGCGCAUUAGCUAGUUGGUGAGGUAACGGCUCACCAAGGCGACGAUGCGUAGCCGACCUGAGAGGGUGAUCGGCCACACUGGGACUGAGACACGGCCCAGACUCCUACGGGAGGCAGCAGUAGGGAAUCUUCCACAAUGGACGAAAGUCUGAUGGAGCAACGCCGCGUGAGCGAUGAAGGCCUUCGGGUCGUAAAGCUCUGUUGUUAGGGAAGAACAAGUACCGGAGUAACUGCCGGUACCUUGACGGUACCUAACCAGAAAGCCACGGCUAACUACGUGCCAGCCGCCGCAGUAAUAC